rnacentral:rRNA from 1 species
GUCCACGCCCUAAACGAUGGGUACUAAGUGUCGGCGGGUUACCGCCGGUGCCGCACCUAACGGAGUAAGUACCCCGCCUGGGGAGUACGGCCGCAAGGUUGAAACUCAAAGGAAUUGACGGGGGCCCGCACAAGCGGUGGUGCAUGUGGUUCAAUUCGACGCAACGCGAAAACCUUACCCAGGCUUGACAUGCUCGUGGUAAGAACCGGAAACGGGGAUGACCCUGAAAGGGGAGCGAGCACAGGUGCUGCAUGGCUGUCGU